GGACGUGAGGGCGACCUGGCUGCACCACGUCGCCCCGCUGACCGUCAGGGCUGGUCUGGCUGGUCUGCCUGGCCAGGCGGUGUCCCCUGCACGCUCCAUGGAGGACCACGACCACCUCGGACGGAGGAGAACCGCUUCCUCGGUCAAGGGUAUGCGAGUAGCUGCGCUCCCUGCUAGAACCUCCGGAGAAGCUCUCAAAACAAUAGAAAUUUUUCAUUUACUAGUCUUUAUUUGACUGUAUUGUG
rnacentral:snRNA from 1 species